rnacentral:rRNA from 1 species
CAGUAGCCGCGGGAAUACGAAGGGUGCAAGCGUUACUCGGAAUUACUGGGCGUAAAGCGUGCGUAGGUGGUUGUUUAAGUCUGCUGUGAAAGCCCUGGGCUCAACCUGGGAAUUGCAGUGGAUACUGGGCAACUAGAGUAAGGUAGAGGAUAGUGGAAUUUCCGGUGUAGCAGUGAAAUGCGUAGAGAUCGGAAGGAACAUCUGUGGCGAAGGCGACUAUCUGGGCCAACACUGACACUGAGGCACGAAAGCGUGGGGAGCAAACAGGAUUAGAUACCCGAGUAGUCCCUGUCUCUUAUAC